rnacentral:misc_RNA from 1 species
AAGUCGUAACAAGGUUUCCGUAGGUGAACCUGCGGAAGGAUCAUUAAAAAAAAAUUUAAUGAAUGUCGGGGGGGGGGUUUUCUGCCUCCCGAGUAUUCAACCAACCCCGCUCGUGUAUUUGUACCAAACAAACAAAAUUUUUUAAAAUUAAUAAAAUAAUUAAUAAAAAAAAACUUUCAACAACGGAUCUCUUGGCUCUC